UGGGGAAUAUUGCGCAAUGGGCGAAAGCCUGACGCAGCGACGCCGCGUGAGGGAUGAAGGUUUUCGGAUCGUAAACCUCUGUCAGAAGGGAAGAAACCGCACUGUGCUAAUCAGCAGUGCCUUGACGGUACCUUCAAAGGAAGCACCGGCUAACUCCGUGCCAGCAGCCGCGGUAAUACGGAGGGUGCAAGCGUUAAUCGGAAUUACUGGGCGUAAAGCGCACGUAGGCUGCUUUGUAAGUCAGGGGUGAAAUCCCACGGCUCAACCGUGGAACUGCCUUUGAUACUGCUUAGCUUGAAGCCGGGAGAGGGUGGCGGAAUUCCAGGGGUAGGAGUGAAAUCCGUAGAUAUCUGGAGGAACAUCAGUGGCGAAGGCGGCCACCUGGACCGGUAUUGACGCUGAGGUGCGAAAGCGUGGGGAGCAAACAGG
rnacentral:rRNA from 1 species